AGCGAACGCUGGCGGCAGGCCUAACACAUGCAAGUCGAACGAACCUUUCGGGGUUAGUGGCGGACGGGUGAGUAACACGUGGGAACGUGCCUUUAGGUUCGGAAUAAUUCAGGGAAACUUGUGCUAAUACCGAAUGUGCUCUUCGGGGGAAAGAUUUAUCGCCUUUAGAGCGGCCCGCGUCUGUUUAGCUAGUUGGGUGAGGUAAUGGCUCACCAAGGCGACGAUCAGUAGCUGGUCUGAGAGGAUGAUCAGCCACAUUGGGACUGAGACACGGCGCAAACUCCUACGGGAGGCAGCAGAGGGUAAUCUUGCGCAAUGGGCGAAAGCCUGACGCAGCCAUGCCGCGUGAAUGAUGAAGGUCUUAGGAUUGUAAAAUUCUUUCACCGGGGACGAUAAUGACGGUACCCGGAGAAGAAGCCCCGGCUAACUUCGUG
rnacentral:rRNA from 1 species